rnacentral:lncRNA from 1 species
CAAAGAGGAAACGAAGCACUUUUGUCCCUGCGCGUCAUUCUAACCAUGGAUUGUGGGUCCUGAGAAUAUCCACUAGACUUUCACAAGUCACCAGUCAUGGAUUUCAGGAUCUGACUCUUGUCAUCUUGGGAGACGUCAGGAUCUGACUGCUCGUCUUCACGGGAGACGUCAGGAUCUGAAUGCUUGUCUUCAUGGGAGAGUCAGGUCAUUUCUCGUGGUGACUGGAGAAAGCUCUCUACAGAAACGCCUGUCAUCCAUGCCUUCACCUACGCGAGAGCAUCCUCUGCUCCCUAGACCACACCAGGACAGUUCUGCACGGACCUAAGGAGCUCACAGCCCAGCCCCCUCCCCGGGGAAAUCUCUGCACUCCGGACUGGUAAUUUCCAGGGCAUGGUCUGCCUUU